rnacentral:rRNA from 1 species
GCGACUAAGCGUACACGGUGGAUGCCCUGGCAGUCAGAGGCGAUGAAGGACGUGCUAAUCUGCGAAAAGCGCCGGCGAGGUGAUAUGAACCUUUGACCCGGCGAUGUCCGAAUGGGGAAACCCAGUGUGUUUCGAUACACUAUCGUUAACUGAAUACAUAGGUUAACGAGGCGAACCGGGGGAACUGAAACAUCUAAGUACCCCGAGGAAAAGAAAUCAACCGAGAUUCCCCCAGUAGCGGCGAGCGAACGGGGAGCAGCCCGGAGUCUGAAUCAGCUUGUGUGUUAGUGGAACGGUCUGGAAAGUCCGACGGUACAGGGUGAUAGUCCCGUACACGAAAA